rnacentral:rRNA from 1 species
CUAAGCCAUGCGAGUCGAAUGUAGCAAUACAUGGCGUACUGCUCAGUAACACGUGGAUAACCUACCCUUGAGACGGGGAUAAACCCGGGAAACUGGGUAUAAUACCCGAUAGAUCUCGACUGCUGGAAUGCAUCGAGCUUUAAAGCUCCGGCGCUCAAGGAUGGAUCUGCGGCCUAUCAGGUAGUAGUGGGUGUAGCGUACCUACUAGCCUACGACGGGUACGGGUUGUGAGAGCAAGAGCCCGGAGAUGGAUUCUGAGACACGAAUCCAGGCCCUACGGGGUGCAGCAGGCGCGAAAACUUUACAAUGCUAGAAACAGCGAUAAGGGGACCUCGAGUGCCAGGUUACAAAUCUGGCUGUCGUGAUGCCUAAAAAGCAUUGCAUAGCAAGGGCCGGGCAAGACCGGUGCCAGCCGCCGCGGUAACACCGGCGGCUCGAGUGGUAACCGUUAUUAUUGGGUCUAAAGGGUCUGUAGCCGGCCGGAUAAGUCUCUUGGGAAAUCUGGCAGCUUAACUGUCAGGCUUUCAGGAGAUACUGUCUGGCUCGAGGCCAGGAGAGGUGAGAGGUACUUCAGGGGUAGGGGUGAAAUCUUGUAAUCCUUGAAGGACCACCAGUGGCGAAGGCGUCUCACCAGAACGGACCUGACGGCAAGGGACGAAAGCUAGGGGCACGAACCGGAUUAGAUACCCGGGUAGUCCUAGCCGUAAACGAUACUCGCUAGGUGUCGGCCACGGUGCGACCGUUGUCGGUGCCGUAGGGAAGCCGUGAAGCGAGCCACCUGGGAAGUACGGCCGCAAGGCUGAAACUUAAAGGAAUUGGCGGGGGAGCACCACAACGGGUGGAGCUUGCGGUUUAAUUGGAUUCAACGC